AUGAACGCUGGCGGCGUGCCUAAUACAUGCAAGUCGAGCGAACAGAUAAGGAGCUUGCUCCUUUGACGUUAGCGGCGGACGGGUGAGUAACACGUGGGUAACCUACCUAUAAGACUGGGAUAACUUCGGGAAACCGGAGCUAAUACCGGAUAACAUUUGGAACCGCAUGGUUCUAAAGUGAAAGAUGGUUUUGCUAUCACUUAUAGAUGGACCCGCGCCGUAUUAGCUAGUUGGUAAGGUAACGGCUUACCAAGGCGACGAUACGUAGCCGACCUGAGAGGGUGAUCGGCCACCCUGGAACUGAGACACGGUCCAGACUCCUACGGGAGGCAGCAGUAGGGAAUCUUCCGCAAUGGGCGAAAGCCUGACGGAGCAACGCCGCGUGAGUGAUGAAGGGUUUCGGCUCGUAAAACUCUGUUAUUAGGGAAGAACAAAUGUGUAAGUAACUGUGCACGUCUUGACGGUACCUAAUCAGAAAGCCACGGCUAACUACGUG
rnacentral:rRNA from 1 species